rnacentral:rRNA from 1 species
UACGGGGGGGUAAGCGUUGUUCGGAAUUACUGGGCGUAAAGGGCUCGUAGGCGGCCAACUAAGUCAUACGUGAAAUCCCUCAGCUUAACUGGGGAACUGCGUGUGAGACUGGCAGGCUCGAGGGCAGGAGAGGAACGCGGAAUUCCAGGUGUAGCGGUGAAAUGCGUAGAUAUCUGGAGGAACACCGGUGGCGAAGGCGGCGUUCUGGACUGUCUCUGACACUGAAGAACGAAAGCCAGGGGAGCAAACGGGA